UACGUAGGGGGCAAGCGUUGUCCGGAAUUAUUGGGCGUAAAGCGCGCGCAGGCGGUUCUUUAAGUCUGGUGUCUAAGUGCGGGGCUCAACCCCGUGAUGCACUGGAAACUGGGGAACUUGAGUGCAGAAGAGGAGAGCGGAAUUCCACGUGUAGCGGUGAAAUGCGUAGAGAUGCGGAGGAACACCAGUGGCGAAGGCGACUCUUUGGCCUGUAACUGACGCUGAGGCGCGAAAGCGUGGGGAGCAAACAGG
rnacentral:rRNA from 1 species